CCAUAUUCUAUAGCAUCUGGCAAAGUAACUAGUUUAGAAACCUAACAACCACCUUUCUGGGAGGGAAAAUAAAGUGCAACAUAUACAGGGGAAAACUUGGUAAAAGAGCUGAGGGAUGAUGGUGAUGCCAGUUCUCAGCAAAAUGGCCAGCUCCCCACCCAAGUGUCAGCUUCAUAUCUUUCUCUCUAAAGCCUCUAAACCACCAGCCUCCAUGUCUCUGCACGCUGGGGUUUCACCCUGGCUUCUUGUCUCUGAAAUGACAUAGCUCUAAAUAUCCCAUUUCCCUAGCUUUAAAAGUCAGCAUGUGAAAGACGAAAAUCCAAAAUAAC
rnacentral:lncRNA from 1 species